GUGGGGAAUAUUGGACAAUGGGCGAAAGCCUGAUCCAGCCAUGCCGCGUGUGUGAAGAAGGUCUUCGGAUUGUAAAGCACUUUAAGUUGGGAGGAAGGGUAGUAACCUAAUACCUUGCUGUUUUGACGUUACCGACAGAAUAAGCACCGGCUAACUUCGUGCCAGCAGCCGCGGUAAUACGAAGGGUGCAAGCGUUAAUCGGAAUUACUGGGCGUAAAGCGCGCGUAGGUGGUGUUGUAAGUUGGAGGUGAAAUCCCCGGGCUCAACCUGGGAACUGCCUCCAAAACUGCAUGACUAGAGUACGGUAGAGGGUAGUGGAAUUUCCUGUGUAGCGGUGAAAUGCGUAGAUAUAGGAAGGAACACCAGUGGCGAAGGCGACUACCUGGACUGAUACUGACACUGAGGUGCGAAAGCGUGGGGAGCAAACAGGAUUAGAUACCCGGGUAGUCC
rnacentral:rRNA from 1 species